UGAAUUUUGGAGGAGCCCGCUGAGCAAAAGAGAAAUAAAAAUGGAGAGCCAGGUGCUGGUGGGCGUGGCCUGCUAGCCUGCUGACAAGCUAACAGACCAACAACAAAUAUUCGGAAAACUUUCAUCUCUCAAGUGAAAUAAAAUAAAAAUGCUGGAAGAAGUCGAAGACCUGCUCUCUAAAGAUUUCAACCACCUGUUCAGCGGGAUGAAGAGAGGACAGUGAAACGCACAGGUGACAAGUUUUCCAUCCACCUCGGUUGCUUGACUGGACGCCUGCGUACCCCAGCCGAAUAACUGCUGAGGGAGGGUUUUGUUCCUGUCUGUGAAUCCUUCAGGCCGUCGUCGGGGAAUGUGGAGGUGGGUGACCGCAAACAUCCGUGUGCCAGCACCGUGCCACACAUGCAUCCAACGGGGUCGCAUUAUCUUCAAAGCCUGUCGCCUUCAACAUGUGAUACGACUCAGAGCUCAAAAUAAAAAAUGGAAAAAAGAAGAAAUGGCAGACAUCUUGCAUUCCUGAGCUCAUUCCACAAAGUACAAUAACUUCCUUGAAUUCUUCGACCCCCGGCGGCGGAGCCAGGGCACAUCCUGUUGUCCUUGCAGCACUUCCUGCUCAUGCAGCUCAAUCAGGCUCCUUUGUUGCCAUGGCCACUGGAAAACAGUGUAGUCAUGCUUAAUAGGCACCCAAACACGUAACGCUCAGAUAAUUAUGGAGCAAAGAUCUGGCAGAUAUUUAUUUUUUAUUUUUUCAAACCUCUAACAUCCAGUUUUCAAGCUUUACUGCUAUUAGAAUAACUUUAUUCGAGAGUCUUACUGCAUAUCAUUUAAUUUCUGGACUGGCUUGUUGCUUCUCUUCAUUCAUUCCUUGUGAUGUUAAAACUGAGAAAGACUUUAUAUGAGUCAUUAAGACUUUAUGCUUUUAUGUCUGCACCCUUCUAUCAAAUACAAAUGUUGUUUUUGUGCAUUAUUUUGUACCCAUCUUCUCCAACAUAUCUGAGUUACAGCGAUGUAUCUUUGGCCAGGCACCAUCUGUGUUAAGGAGAAUAAAUGGUCCAGUCCCCACUG